rnacentral:rRNA from 1 species
GCCAGACUCCUACGGGAGGCAGCAGUGGGGAAUAUUGCACAAUGGGGGAAACCCUGAUGCAGCGACGCCGCGUGAGUGAAGAAGUAUUUCGGUAUGUAAAGCUCUAUCAGCAGGGAAGAAAUAGCGACCUUUGGGUCGCCAGACGGUACCUGACUAAGAAGCCCCGGCUAACUACGUGCCAGCAGCCGCGGUAAUACGUAGGGGGCAAGCGUUAUCCGGAUUUACUGGGUGUAAAGGGAGCGUAGACGGCAAUACAAGUCGGAAGUGAAAUGCCCGGGCUUAACCUGGGAACUGCUUUGGAAACUGUAUGGCUGGAGUGCUGGAGAGGUAAGCGGAAUUCCUAGUGUAGCGGUGAAAUGCGUAGAUAUUAGGCGGAACACCAGUGGCGAAGGCGGCUUACUGGACAGUAACUGACGUUGAGGCUCGAAAGCGUGGGGAGCAAACAGGAUUAGAUACCCCCGUAA